rnacentral:rRNA from 1 species
AGCGAACGCUGGCGGCAGGCCUAACACAUGCAAGUCGAACGAACUCUUCGGAGUUAGUGGCGGACGGGUGAGUAACACGUGGGAACGUGCCUUUAGGUUCGGAAUAACUCAGGGAAACUUGUGCUAAUACCGAAUGUGCCUUUCGGGGGAAAGAUUUAUCGCCUUUAGAGCGGCCCGCGUCUGAUUAGCUAGUUGGUGAGGUAAAGGCUCACCAAGGCGACGAUCAGUAGCUGGUCUGAGAGGAUGAUCAGCCACAUUGGGACUGAGACACGGCCCAAACUCCUACGGGAGGCAGCAGUGGGGAAUCUUGCGCAAUGGGCGAAAGCCUGACGCAGCCAUGCCGCGUGAAUGAUGAAGGUCUUAGGAUUGUAAAAUUCUUUCACCGGGGACGAUAAUGACGGUACCCGGAGAAGAAGCCCCGGCUAACUUCGUG